AGCGAACGUUAGCGGCGGGCUUAACACAUGCAAGUCGAACGAGAAAGUGGGCUUCGGCCCGCGAGUAAAGUGGCAGACGGGUGCGUAACACGUGGGUAAUCAACCUUGUGGCGGGGGACAACCUUCCGAAAGGAGGGCUAAUACCGCGUAAGUCCGGCGGGUCUUCGGAUCUGCCGGGGAAAGGGGGGCGCAAGCCUCUCACCACAAGACGAGCCCGCGGCCCAUCAGCUAGUUGGUGAGGUAAUGGCUCACCAAGGCUUAGACGGGUAGCUGGUCUGAGAGGAUGACCAGCCACACUGGAACUGCGACACGGUCCAGACUCCUACGGGAGGCAGCAGUGGGGAAUAUUGGGCAAUGGGCGAAAGCCUGACCCAGCCACGCCGCGUGAGUGAUGAAGGCCUUCGGGUCGUAAAGCUCUGUGGAGGGGGAAGAAAAGUCCGGGGCUCAUACCUCCGGAUCUUGACGGUACCCCUUUAGCAAGCACCGGCUAACCACGUGC
rnacentral:rRNA from 1 species